GGUGAACGCUGGCGGCAUGCCUAAUACAUGCAAGUCGAACGAGAGGAAGGAAAGCUUGCUUUCCUGAAUCUAGUGGCGAACGGGUGAGUAACACGUAGGUAACCUGCCCUUGAGAGGGGGAUAACGUCUGGAAACGGACGCUAAUACCGCAUAAAAUUAUCCAGUCGCAUGGCAGGAUAAUCAAAGGAGCAAUCCGCUGAAGGAUGGACUCGCGUCCGAUUAGAUAGUUGGUGAGGUAAAGGCUCACCAAGUCGACGAUCGGUAGCCGGACUGAGAGGUUGAACGGCCGCAUUGGGGACUGAGACACGGCCCAGACUCCUACGGGAGGCAGCAGUGGGGGAUAUUGCACAAUGGGCGAAAGCCUGAUGCAGCAACGCCGCGUGAGGGAAGACGGGUUUUCGGAUUGGUAAACCUCUGUUCUAAGUGACGAAGAAUGAC
rnacentral:rRNA from 1 species